rnacentral:lncRNA from 1 species
UUGAUGAUGCAACCAUCGGGCUGUUCUUCGACGGUGACAACGAGCACCGGACAAACUUCGAAGGCGAAGAACUUGAGCUUGUGGACGUAGCACUUGAAGGUAUUGUCGUCCACUCUCUCGAUACGCUGCGCAUCUAACACCGAGUACUGGCUUGCAGGAAGACUCAUAUACUCGGCUGGGAAGAACGAAGAACAAGAAGGAAAAAAAGAUGAGAGGCUUGCCAGGCAUGGACAUUCUUCGCCGAGUACCUAGAGGGCGAUGGGUCUCCUCGAGAAGGUAACUCUCGCUCGCUCGCCCGACUAACCUUGCCCGUGGCUCUGAUCUCCCGAGAUCGCCAGGGACGUCGACCGCUGCCGCGAUUCUCCCGUGCUGCCGCUGCCGCUUCCUCCUCCGCGAUGCAAAGCUUGGAGGACCCAGCUUGAGCGCUUCCAAUCCAGGCUUUUCGGGAGAAGACAAGGCAAUGUGAUGGUGGCUCCGAGACUCCAGGGAGGAGAAGAGGCUCCAGCACGCCAUGCCCUUCGUGGAUUUGCUGGAGAGUUCGAUACCUCUGAGAGUUUUAAUGGUAAAAAGUUAAAAGUUAAAAAGUAGAAAGGUUUAGGAUGAAUGUUUACCUUUUAGCAAAAUAGAAUUGUCCCUGGAAUAUUCUUGACGAAAACUGGGCUUAUAAACCCUAAAAUAUAUUUGCGCGAUGAUGGAAGAGCUCCAAUCGUGGCUGCGAAUUCACAUCGCCGUCCACGACCUUUGCGGCUUGCGCGGCUUCGAUCUUAGGGUUUUUGAGAGGCAAGGAGUUCCAGCAGCGAUCUUCUCUCGUCAGCGCCUUCAUCCGCGGCUAUCCACAGCGAUCUAGGACGAUCAACAAAAUGUAGGUGCGAACUAGCAAUCUAGGAUGAUCCACAGGAGGAUGG